CGAGUUUGAUCCUGGCUCAGGAUGAACGCUGGCGGCGUGCCUAACACAUGCAAGUCGAGCGCGAUUAAGUGGAUUGGAAGCUUCGGCCAAAGAGAAACUUAUGAAAGCGGCGGACGGGUGAGUAACGCGUGGGUAACCUGCCCCAUACAAAGGGAUAGCCACUGGAAACGGUGAUUAAUACCUUAUAAGUCGGUAGUCUCGCAUGAGACAGCCGACAAAGAUUUAUCGGUAUGGGAUGGACCCGCGUCUGAUUAGCUAGUUGGUGAGGUAACGGCUCACCAAGGCGACGAUCAGUAGCCGACCUGAGAGGGUGAUCGGCCACACUGGAACUGAGACACGGUCCAGACUCCUACGGGAGGCAGCAGUGGGGAAUAUUGCACAAUGGGCGCAAGCCUGAUGCAGCAACGCCGCGUGAGUGAUGAAGGCUUUCGGGUCGUAAAACUCUGUCCUAUGGGAAGAAAAAAAUGACGGUACCAUAGGAGGAAGCCCCGGCUAACUACGUG
rnacentral:rRNA from 1 species